rnacentral:rRNA from 1 species
AUGCGCCAUCGGGUUCCGCUGUUCUCUAAACUCCGUUUGGGUGCCGGGGUGGUGGUCUUAGGAGGAGGAGAGGAGGAAGAAGAGGAGGAGCAGGAGAGCCCCGCAGGUGCAGGGGAGGUCGUUUGUGGUGGAGAGGGCAUCGACGACGGCCGUCCCAGCGGCGCUGCUGAAGGUGGGCGAUGCGCUGCGCGCGCCCCGGCGGCUGUUCACGGAGGACGACGUGGCGGCGUACGCCGGGGUGAGCGGCGACCGCAACCCCGUCCACCUGGACGGGCGGGUUCCAGCGCGGCCGCGUGGUGCACGGCAUGCUCUUCGCCUCCCUCUUCCCCACCCUCAUCGCCUCCCGCGUCCCUGGAGCCGUGUACGCGAGCCAGUCCCUCAAGUUCGCGGCGCCGGUGCACGUCGGUGGUUGCGCAGGUGCAGGCGCUCCACAUCAAGGCCACCGGCGCAAGGCACGUCGUCAAGUUCGCCACCAAGUGCUUCACGGACGAUGAGGAGAGUCAUGCCAUUGACGGCGAGGCCAUGGCUUUUCUGCCCACGCUGCAGCUCAGUGCAGAGGCAAUCGAGUGA